rnacentral:snRNA from 1 species
GUGCUCACUCAGCCCCACAUAUACUAAAAUUGGACUAAUACAGAGAAGAUUAGCAUGGCCUGUAUGGCAAGGAUAACAUACAAACUCAUGCAGCAUUCCAUAUCAGG